rnacentral:lncRNA from 1 species
UGUAUUAUAAUAUUUUUUUUAAACUUUAAAUUUAAUUUCAAGGUCUUCUAUUAUCCUCAAUGUAAUUUUUGUCACCUCUUUCAUAUACCAUCAUCUCUUUUUUAAAGGUAUAUUUAGCUCUUGAUAAUAUAUCUACUAUCAAGUUUUUUUUUAUCAAUAAUAUGUAUAAAAAUAAGAUUCAACAUUCUUAUGUAGGCUAUCCAUCUUAGCAUAGUAAUAUUUGAAAUAGUACAAUUAAUUAUCAUUCAAAGUAAUG